AAGACUAUACUUUCAGGGAUCAUUUCUAUAGUUUGUUACUAAAAAGGGAAAAAGAAGACACAAAGAACUGGACCAAGGCAUCGAGGGGCUUGU
rnacentral:snoRNA from 1 species